UAGAUCUCAUUCUUCUCUUUCUCAUUCUUCUCUACGACUCCACAGACGCUACCCCACCCCACUCCAUGACUGAAUCAAACUCAAUCCUCACUUUAUCGAUCUGGUUCCACACUUCAUCGAUGUUAUUUCCCUAUAAACUUCAUCGAUCUAGUCUCUAAUCUCCAUGAAUCUAUCGAUCUAGGGUUUUAUUUACACGUUUGGAGACUGGAGAGAACUCAUUGAUUCAUCGACGGCGAGUGGAGACUGGAGAGAACUCAUCAUCGACGGCAGUUAAGAAGGAACCAAACUCAUCAUCGAAAGCUUGAUUUGCAACAGGUUAUUUGGGUCAAACAAGGUAUGAAGGAGUUAGCCUUGGAACAACCCACCAUUAUCAUUGAUGAAACGGUUGAUGAAAGUUAUGAAACAUCCGAAACGGCAUAAGGUUGUCAUGGUUUUUGAGCAUGCUUGCUACUUGGAAAGUUGGAAUAUGGUUCACUAGUUUUUGGUUAGAUUGGAAGUUGGGAGAUGGAUUGGAUUUUGGGCUAUCUUAUUUGGAAGAUUAUGUCUUUAAUUUCGAACCACGAAUUGUCUUUAUUUGCCUUUUUUGAACAUCUUAGUAUUUUGUUUGUAUUAAGACUUUAAUUUGACUAGACUAAUGGUUAUUGCUGGAUUGUUUUGGUUUGUAUUAAGACUGGACUAAUGGUUAGUUGGUUACUGUUGGUGAUGUAGUAUUAAGACUUGAA